ACUGACAGAGGGAAAGGCCCUGUUCUCCUUGAAGCACCGUGAGAACCGAGGGAAAGGAAGGCUGUUGUUGGAUCGGGGCUUUGGCAGCAGGGGCAAAACCAGCCUUGCUCUGAUACCAAGUUGAUGCCGCACCAGUGCGGGGAAAGAGGAGAAGAAGGAAGAACAAGAGAAAGAGAAGGAAGAAGAGGUUGUAGAGACGCAGGAAGAAUAGAGGAGGAGAGGAGAAAAAGAGAAGAAAGAACGUAGGGGGAAAGAAAUUCCAAAUCACUUCAUUAAACUCUAAUCAUGAAAAUAGU
rnacentral:lncRNA from 1 species